AGUGAACGCUGGCGGCGUGCUUAACACAUGCAAGUCGAACGAGAACGGAAUAUAGCUUGCUAUAUUUGUCAGCUAAGUGGCGCACGGGUGAGUAAUGUAUAGAUAACCUGCCCUUAAGAAAGGAAUAACAGUUGGAAACGACUGCUAAUGCCCUAUAUGCCUUUAAUACAUAAGUAUGCAAGGGAAACGCUUUAGUGCUUAAGGAUGGGUCUGUAUGGUAUCAGCUUGUUGGUGAGGUAAUGGCUCACCAAGGCUAUGACGCCUAACUGGUUUGAGAGGAUGAUCAGUCACACUGGAACUGAGACACGGUCCAGACUCCUACGGGAGGCAGCAGUGGGGAAUAUUGCACAAUGGACGAAAGUCUGACGCAGCAACGCCGCGUGGAGGAUGACACAUUUCGGUGCGUAAACUCCUUUUAUAUAGGAAGAUAAUGACGGUACUAUAUGAAUAAGUACCGGCUAACUCCGUGCCAGCCGCCGCAGUAA
rnacentral:rRNA from 1 species